GGAAGACUUGCUAUGGUUAUAGAAAUCAUGAAGGGCUACAGCUUCAUCUUCACCUGCUCAAACAAUGAUCGCUAUUCAGGAGGAGUUUUCAAUCUCAUCUACUCUGGCUCCAACAUGAAACACAAUAAGACAUCUGUCAACAGCUCAGCCUCCUUUAGUUUCCCUGUAGCUGACUUUGGACACGAGGGCCGCUACAGCUGUGUGUAUGAGAUAACUCUGACAGAAGGAACAUUCACUUCUCCUGAGGCGGAGUGGAUUUAUGUCUCCGUUAUAUAUUCAAGAACUCCAAUCCUGAGAUAUGUUCUCCUGCCUCUGGUUCUGCUUUUGGAGAACAUUGCCCUUCAUUUCUACUAUAAGGUCAUCAAAAAGCAGAAAUCAGACAAAAAGGAGAACGAUGAGACGGAUGUUUCCAGAGCUGAAGAAGUGGAGGCUGAGGAGGAAGCGGUCCAAGAAAUAGAAUAGAAUUGAAACACAUAGAAACACACACAAGUUUAAAAUCCACUAUCUGAUUUUAUCUAUAUCUAUCUCUUUCUAUAUAUGUAUAUAGAUAUAUAUUAGUCCAUAUAUACUCCAGUCCUCUCUCUUUUUUCAUCUUUCUCUGAUUCUAAAAGUGAAGUUUUUACAGAUUAAGUAUUUUUUUCCCUCAAUAACCUCUAUCUUUAGCUAGACAGAAUAUGUGUCAGUUUGUGAUGUCUUUGUACUCUCG
ensembl:lncRNA